AAGCAAACAGACAUGCUGUUCCCCUUGCACUAGACUGAGCAGUUGUUCCUAACCUGCUUCACGUGCAAGGAGACUCAACCACCACCAACCCCAGGACAACUGAGAGUGGAACUUCUGGAAGGAACAGAAGCAGAGCAAAUGAGCACCCAGAGGUGGGGUUUGGUGGCCUUCUCUUGAUGACAUCACAGCUCCCCCUGAAAGUGACCCUGUGAAUAACCCUUCCCUCCCAAUCCCUUGCUGAAGGCUGGAUCUAUGGGGUGGAGAUCAGACCCCAGUCCGCCCCAACCCGGCCAGAGCCCUCUUGGCAGAUCUCACUGUAUCCAGACAAACUCUGUCUCUAAACUGAACUCCGACCCCAGCAAGCCACAGGUCACUCCGCGGCCUGGGUCUAAGGGUCGCCUCUGGGAAAUUUCCCAGUCCGGGGACGGUCAGGGUUCAGUUCCAGUGUGGGCGCCCAGGGAGGCAGCAACCCGCGCUGUCAAGCGCAAGGUAGCAAACUUUCCGCGGUCCCUCUCCCCACCCCCACGCCACAGGGGUGCGUCUCCACGAAGAGCUCGCCUUUCCCAGCCCGCCAGAGACAACCACAGCACGUGAUGCGCAGAAACAAAAAUAAACACUUCCCCUUCCCGGACCGCCACGGCGAGCAGGGGGCGCCCUGCGCUAUCCCGGAGUCGCACACCCCACACCCCACCCCUGCCGCCCCUAAGGCAGUCCCCACGGGCACCGGGAGAAUGUGGCCCCUGCCCCGCGACGCCCUACUCCUACCUCUCGGAUUUGGUGAACUUCCGGAACGCCUGGCGCAGGUCGUGGAAGGACCUGUCAAUAUCACAGGAGCCAUUAUUAUCUACUUACAACUUUAAAAGGUAACUAAAGUGAUAAAACACCAUGGCCAAAAGCAACUUGGAGAAGAAAAGGCUUACUUGAUUUAUAGGAUACAGUCCAUUAUCGUGAAGAACUAAAACCCGAAGUCAGAAACUGAAGUAGAGAUCUUGGAAGAACACUUCUUACUGGCUGAUUUCCUCUGACUGGCUCAUCCAGAGUCCACUGGACCAAGGGUGGCACCACCUGUCCACAGUGGGCUGGACCCAUCAACUUCAAUCAGCAAUCAAGAAAGGGCCCCACAGACCUACCUACUGGCUAAUCUAUUGAAGCAUUUCCUCAACUGAAGUUCCUCUUCCCAGAUUUGCCAAGUUGACAACAUGACGAACCAGGACAACAUCCUUUAAAGAUUAUCUUCCACAGAUUUCAGGGUUUUCUUGGUAUUUUGUUUUUUGUUUGUAUCUUAACAUGACUGUUGUAGAAGUGCUACAUAUUCAAUUUAUAAUUUAACUUCUCUCAAAUAAAUUCAUUUGCUUUAAAUCAACAUAAAUUAUGACAUUUGUAGAGACUUGAUAAUGAUUUCAACUUAUAAUUCUCUAAGUAAAAGGAGUAUUUAGCCAGUUAUUUAGUAUUUGGUCAUGUAUUUUCAGAUUUAAUGACAUAGCUUAAUGGAUGGUGCUUAAAUUUUUUGAUUUAUUUAGUAGUGAGUAAAAUUAUAUGACUUCUCUGAAAAAUAGAGUUUACAUUGCAUUUAUAAUCAAUUCCAAUUAAAGUAAAAUAUACAACUAAUUAUAGAAAUAUUUAUGAUGGGAAAUCUAAUAGCAGUGAGUCCUUAGUUUUAUUGUAAUGCAUGGCUUGACUUUUAAAAUAAAGUAACCUUUUAUUUUAAUUAUUAAAUAAUAUUAUAACAUCAGCAUCAUCCCAUGUUACCAAUGAGUGUUAUUAAUAGAUACUCAUAACAUCCUUAGAACUCCCUAAAUUAUCACAACUCAGCUAUUGUAAUAUAGACAAGAGCCAUGUGUGCUUAGAGUCUCCAACUUCUCAUAUCUGAAGAAACAACAGAAGUACCUUCAUCAUUCAUUCAGCCAUUAUUAAAAUUAAAUGUUAGGAGUACAGGUAACUUCAAAACAGUAGUUGAAUAUGGUGUUUAAUUGAAGUAACAUUAGAUUUUUUCAAUGUAUUUAUAUAUAUAUAUAAGUAUAUAUAUAUAUAUAUAUAUAUAUAUAUAUAUGGUAUUUUCCUGUAGUCUAAACUGACCAGGGAAUCACUGUAUAGCUCAAGCUGGACUUGUUCAUCUUAACCUCCCACAUAUUGGAGUAAAAAGUGUGUGACACUAAUUACUGAGCUUCUAAGUAGAAUUAUCACAGUAAAUCUUUUCAGAAACAUGUGAACAUACACUACCAUUUUGGAAAUGUGUCCCUGUGAUAGAUUUAAAGUAUCUAUUAUAACUUCCUUCUCACGGGCACACUUUGGGAAAAUUUUCCCUCAUGUUGACUGUGGGCUUAAGGUGUAACUUGCAUUGGUCAAUGAGACAUUAACAAAUGUGAAAGAGCUGGGCCUUUAAAAAUGUAUUCAUGUAUUUGGGACUCGACCAUUUUCACUGCCAUGGAGAAAACUGUAAUCACUAUGAGGAGAACCAGUCUACUAUGGUCUGCUGGAUGAUAAGUGGGACAUGACCCAGUUAUCUCUAUUGUCUUUGCAAACAGGCAGCCAGUCACCACACAUGGGAGUGAGGUCAUCAACCCCUCAGUGCCUGUUUUAUGCACAUGAACCCCAUCAAUGCCUCUUGGAACUGAAAUGCAGCCCAGGAGAGUUGAACUAAAGCUGAUGACCCAUAGAAUUAUAAACAUAAUUGGUGUUGUUUAAUGCCACUCAGUUCAGUUCAGGAGUGGUUUGUUAUACAGUAGAAGCUAAUUGCCAGCAUCCCUGGCAGGGGAAUAUUCAUAAUUUAAAAUGUAGCCAGUGUUUUAAAUUUCUAUUCCUAAAUAAAAAUACUAGUUUACUAGUAAGAUAUUAUCAAGAGGAUUAAAUUAUUAAUACAACUAAUGAAUUGAAACUGUUCCUAUUUGGUUUCACCCCAUAAUAAACAUUGGACAAUAGCAUUGAUGUAUGAAAAUAGAAACCUCCAGAAACAGUAACACAAAAGCUUUUCCUUUUGUGCUUAAACUGAGUAGCAGAGAAUUUUCUGUAUUAUGCUUAUUUAUUCAUUUAUAUACUUUUUAGUUUAA